rnacentral:ribozyme from 1 species
AAAAGGAAGACAAGAUGGAAAACGGAAAGGCGAAAAGGUGGGAGAAAAAAAAAAAUUGUGUGGUCUCUCUGAGCUACACUUUUUUUUUUUUUUUUUUU